UGCGAUGGUCCCUGCGGAUGC
rnacentral:sRNA from 1 species